rnacentral:rRNA from 1 species
CCCUUAGAUGUUCUGGGCUGCACGCGCGCUACACUGAUGCGCUCAACGAGUUUUAACCUUGCCUGGAAAGGUUGGGUAAUCUUUUUAAAACGCAUCGUGAUGGGGAUAGAUUAUUGCAAUUAUUAAUCUUCAACGAGGAAUUCCUAGUAAGCGCAAGUCAUCAGCUUGCAUUGAUUACGUCCCUGCCCUUUGUACACACCGCCCGUCGCACCUACCGAUUGAAUGGUCCGGUGAAAUCUCGGGACGGCGGCUUGGUCGCUUGCGUCCGACUGCUGAAACUUGAUUAAACCAUAUCAUUUAGAGGAAGGUGAAGUCGUAACA